UUGGUGGGGUAAAAGCCUACCAAGGUAACGAUGGGUAGCCGGACUGAGAGGUUGACCGGCCACAUUGGGACUGAGAACGGCCCAAACUCCACGGGAGGCAGCAGUAGGGAAUUUUCGGCAAUGGGGGGAACCCUGACCGAGCGAUGCCGCGUGAAUGACGAAGUUCUUCGGAAUGUAAAAUUCUUUUGUGUGGGAAGAAAAAGCAAUUAUUGACGGUACCACAAGAAUAAGCCCCGGCUAACUAUGUGCCAGCAGCCGCGGUAAUACAUAGGGGGCAAGCGUUAUCCGGAUUUACUGGGCGUAAAGGGUGCGUAGGUUGUUAUUUAAGUUUGUGGUAUAAGCACAAUGCUUAACGUUGUGAGGCUGGGAAAACUAGAUAGCUAGAGUAAGACAGAGGCAAGUGGAAUUCCAUGUGUAGCGGUAAAAUGCGUAAAUAUAUGGAGGAACACCAGUGGCGAAGGCGGCUUGCUGGGUCUUGACUGACGCUGAUGCACGAAAGCGUGGGGAGCAAACAGGAUUAGAUACCCUGGUAGUCCACGCCGUAAACGAUGAGUACUAAGUGUUGGCCAAAAAGGUCAGU
rnacentral:rRNA from 1 species